rnacentral:tRNA from 1 species
GCCGAAGUGGCGGAAUUGGCAGACGCGCAUGAUUCAGGGUCAUGUGCCCGCAAGGGUGUGGGGGUUCGAGUCCCCCCUNNGCGAUGGGCACCA